UUUUUUUUUUUAAUUUUUAUUUUAUUUAUGAUAGUCACAGAGAGAGAGAGAGAGAGGCAGAGACACAGGCAGAGGGAGAAGCAGGCUCCAUGCCCCGGGAGCCGGACGUGGGAUUCGAUCCCGUGUCUCCAGGAUCGCGCCCUGGGCCAAAGGCAGGCGCCAAACCGCUGCACCACCCAGGGAUCACUCGGUUUAUUGUUAAUUAAAUGUUUUGCUUCAUCAAUAAAAUGAGUAAGAGCAACUUAGCACUGUUUACAGAAUUCAUUGAUCAAAGCCUUUUAUUUCAUUGUCAGGUUCCUGUGUGGGGAAACAUAACUGCAAUCCUACUGUAAAUCUAAAGCUGUUGGGAUUCUUUGGAGUCACAGCAUCAUGGCCCAUCCAUGACAGAUGGUUCAACAAUGAUCAUGAAUGAGAUUCUGCUCAGUGGGAACACCACAGUGUUAAUGAAGUCCUCAUGGAUUUAUUCUCUCGACUGCCAUUAUUCACUUACAGACACUUUUCUAGUGUACAUGUACCAUAUAAAACUCUUCUAAUGGAAACAUCUCUCUCUGUUCCCCACUUUAAAUGGACAUCUUGACUUCUAUUCUCUAAUCUCAAUUAUAGUAGUAGUAAUCAUGUAUAUUAUUGACUGUAAACUAGGACUUGGGCUAUGUGAUUUAUCUACAUUACUCAUUCAUUGUUUGCAAAUGAGGAAACAGAAACUAACCUUCCCAAGGUCAUUUGGGGAAGGCAAGAGAAGCAUUUGGGCGCAGGUAUGUUGACUCUGAUAAUGUAUAUUAUCAGGGAUGUGCUUUUAUCUAGUGUAACUACUGCCUCUAAUAGUAAAAGUCAAUAUUGGGAAUAGAGAACUCCAUUGGCAAUAUUUAGUUUAAUUAUAAGAAGAUGUAGCACACAUUUGUGAUAUAAAUAUUCAGUAAUGAUGCUAUCAUUCUGGAAAUGAUAGGAAAAAGGACUAUUUCUUGAUUGUAUUCAUUUUUAAAUCUGGCAUACAGUGGAUACUUCACAUACUAUAAAACACUUAAUCCUCAUACUAUCACUGAAAAGUAACUAUUCUUAUUCUCAUUUUACAGUUGAAGUCAUUCAGGCUUAGGAUGGCUAAGUAACUUUUGCAAAUUCACAGAGAAAGUAAGUAGCUGAAUUCUAGUCCAGGUGCUGGAUGCUACACCAUGCUGCCAGUGUGACUUUAUAAAUCCAUCAUUAAGAUUGCUUUUCACACUAAGUAUUUGUGUACAAAACAUCUUUAUAAUAUAUUCUUUAACACGCAUAUUCUCUAUCUUGUAUUAAGGACCAGAAUCAAAAUAAUCAAAAUUUCUCCAAAGAAGUAAAAUCUUCAGAGGAUCUAUCACUGAUUAUAGACCUUUUAAAAAAAGAUUUGUUUGGCGGGGGGCACAAGCUGAGGGGAGAAGCAGAGUGAGAGAGAGAAGCAGACUCCCCACUGAACAGGGAGCCUGAUGCAGGGCUGGAUCCCAGGGACCCUGAGAUCAUAACCUGUGCCAAAGGCAGAGACUUAACCAACUGAGCCACCCAUGUGCCCCAAUUAUAGACUGUUAAUAGCUGAAAAGGAUAUUAGGGUUUAUAGAGUGCAACCCACUUAAUCUUAAUGAUGAGGAAACUGAGAAGUCCAAGUUUACACAACCUCUGACUAGUGGUGAGACUGUGAACAAUUCUCCAAAAUGGCAGCUAAAAUUUAAUUUGUCCAAAAACCAUGCCAAUUGUGAAGAUAAAAUAAAUAAAACAAAUAGCACUAUGUGUAGCAUAAUAUUAGCUAGAUUAUUAUUAUCAUUGUUACCAACAUGACUAGAUUAACAUUGGGGGAUUGAGUCAAUGGCCGGCUAACUUGGCCCACUUUAUACCCAUACCCUUGUGGUCUCUGUGUUCAUUGUGCAACAAUGACAUUCUCCACUUGCUGAAUGAUUUCUCUGGUCACAAUCACCAUUUAUUCACUUAUUGUAUAAGUUCUUGUCUGAUUUAGAAUAAACACAUAAUUAAAAUGUUUCAUAAAUUAAAAAAAAAAUAUGUCAAGAAACUUUGGACUUGGCAAUACAUAAGUUACUCAGAAAGUGAAUAGAGGGGCACCGGGGUGGCUCAGCGGUUGAGUGUCUGCCUUUGGCUCAGGGCGUGAUCCCAGGGUCCUGAGAUUGAGUCCCAGAUCAGACUUCCUAUGGGGAGCCUGCUUCUCCCUCUGCCUGUGUCUCUGCUUCUCUCUCAGUCUGUCUCAUGAAUAAAUAAAUAAAAUCUUUUUUUUUAAAGUGAAUAUAAAGCCUAGAGUAGGGUGACAAUAGUAUCCAGUUUGCCUGCAGAGGCCCCAAUGUAUGCUUGGCAACUUAGCUUUACUAUCAAUAGCAUCCCAUUUUACCCUCAAAAGUGGCCAAACUUGGAUGAUGAAUUGUAUGGUCUAAGCACUUCAUUUCCAAAGUGUUUAAAAAUUUAAAUAUAAAGCUAUUUUAGACAUGAUAGCAAAUAUUUACAAAUGUGAUAUAUAUAUAUAUGUGAUAUAUAUAGCUAUAAUCCACAAGCUGUACCUGCCCUUCACUGCAGAUAGGACAAUAAGGAAUUCCCUGUGUUCACAGGAGAAAAUCCAACUGUUUUCCAGAUAAGCAAGGUGCUGUCUUCCAGAGGAACUAGAUAAUUUCAUGUUAAUUUUUAGUUUCUCCAGAAGAUAAGAACAUUACCCACGUUAACAACAAAAAUGGUAAAUUGAAGCAAAACACCUCCUUCUGUAUGCCUAGCUGCAGGAAACACUCAAACCCUCCUGGACUAUCCAUCCUUGGAGGUCCAUAUACCUGGGUCUGUGCAAUAAGCUAGGCCUUCCAUUGCAUGACUCGGCUAUUGCCUGGAGCUCCAACAUUGCAUGUUGUUGUUAAUGCAAAUAAUAACAUACACGAGAGACAAUAUUUCCAUCAUUACAGAAAGGACAUGUUAUGUCCUCCAGUGAAUAUUGCAGGACCCUCUAACCAACCAUGAGGCAGCAACUCCAAAGUCAUUGUCAUAAACAUAGUUAGGUUCUGAAUAAUGCUUGGGCUAUAACAUAUAAUUAAUGUGACCAACUGGCAGCAGAAUGCUAUUCAUUUCCAACCUAACAGAGGCUUAAAGGGACAUAUCCUAAUGGAAUAAUCCUGUCUUUGUCAAGAAUAUUCUGGUUGUGAGUAAUAGAAAUCCACUGGUGUUAAAAAAUUUAGUGUAAGGUUGACAUGAGGUAAGCAUCAUACACAUCAGAAGCCACAAAUGCGAUUGGAUCUCUUCAUAAGGUGGAACAGCUCUCAGGCACUAAGUGAGCUACCAUCUCUGGAAUAAAGUGGGCCAUCACUGCUUUUUCUCUACUUCUCUACAUAAAUCUGCUUCAUUCUCUGACUUUCUUCUGUAUAUUAGCAUUCUCUGCUGAUUUAUUUGUAUACAGAGCUCCCCAAAAGGCAUCCCCAUUGUAGCUUUCUAUCACCUCCUAGCUCAAGUACCCAGCCCUCUGGAUUCCAAUUCUAAAUUCCUGGGAGGAAGCAAUCUGACUGGCCCAUGAGGGAGGCAGGAUGUAUCAGUGAGCUAUGACCAAAGAGAACUUAAACAAAUAAAUAUAAACAUGGAUCUUAAGGAGCCUGACUUGAGCAAACAUUCCCAAAGAAAUCUACAUAUAGGUAUAAAAUGGUUGUUUGCAUUUUUACUCUAUUUCUCUAAUACCAAGGAAGUCUAUUUUCUGUUUUUCCCAAAUACAUUUGGAAACAAAUUGGUCAUACAUGGGCACAGGAAUACAUCAUGUUGUGAGUAAAAAGUAAUGCAAUUUCAGCAUACUCAACUGCUUCUGAAACUUCUGU
rnacentral:lncRNA from 1 species